UGCGUAGGUGGUGAGGUAAGUCGGAUGUGAAAGCUCGGAGCUCAACUCCGAAAUGGCAUUGGAAACUACCUUGCUUGAGGAUUGGAGGGGGACUGGAAUACUUGGUGUAGCAGUGAAAUGCGUAGAUAUCAAGUGGAACACCAGUGGCGAAGGCGAGUCCCUGGACAAUUCCUGACACUGAGGCACGAAAGCUAGGGGAGCAAACA
rnacentral:rRNA from 1 species